GAAAGGAAGCGUUGUUAUAUCUGAUACCAGAGCUGUCUUGUAUUCACAGAGAAAUGAUGUGAGUGGACUUUAUUCUGCUUUAUAUCACUGUUACCUGCAACCUCCUGGGAACAUGUCACUUUUUGGCUGCUGGGGUUCAGAACAAAGGAUUAACGACAAUGAAAUCUGUCAGAGUAGUCGUUGUUUUCCGAUGGCCAAAAUGAACAGUAAACAAGGAUGGAGAGCUGGUGUAGUGUUUCUUACUGUCAUCUUCUGCUUUGGAAUCGUGUGGUAUUUACACCUGGAGACGUACAUUC